GACGAACGCUGGCGGCGUGCUUAACACAUGCAAGUCGAGCGGUAAGGCCCCCUCGGGGGUACACGAGCGGCGAACGGGUGAGUAACACGUGAGCAAUCUGCCCAUCACAUCGGGAUAACUCCGGGAAACCGAAGCUAAUACCGAAUACGACCACCUCCGGCAUCGGAUGGUGGUGGAAAGUUCCGGCGGUGAUGGAUGAGCUCGCGGCCUAUCAGCUUGUUGGUGGGGUAACGGCCCACCAAGGCUUCGACGGGUAGCCGGCCUGAGAGGGUGACCGGCCACACUGGGACUGAGACACGGCCCAGACUCCUACGGGAGGCAGCAGUGGGGAAUAUUGGACAAUGGGCGAAAGCCUGAUCCAGCAACGCCGCGUGAGGGAUGACGGCCUUCGGGUUGUAAACCUCUUUCAGCAGGGACGAAGCGCAAGUGACGGUACCUGCAGAAGAAGCACCGGCCAACUACGUG
rnacentral:rRNA from 1 species